rnacentral:lncRNA from 1 species
GGCCCUUCUGAGCGCCAUAACCCCGAACGCCCUCCGCGCCCUUCGUAGCUCGACGGAGCAUGCUCAUCACGCUCCCACGAGCCGCCCUGAGGCUCGAGUCGAGCGGCAGGGUCGUCGGCACCCGUCGCGCGGCGUCCUCCAGAUCUCACCGCGCGCCAACCGUUGGGCCGCGUCCCUUUGGAAGGCAUCUCGCGGUUCGGUAUACGCUCGGCAACGGAUGGUACGUGUUCGAGGCGAGCUCGGACGAUGAAGGUACCAGCGGCGGCGGCGGUGGCGCAUCGGAACAGGAGGUGGUCACCUACACCGAGGAGGCGCUCGAGGGCGAGCCCGAGCCCGACAGGAACGACCAGACGCUCAUGGGGAAGCUCGGCGAGCUCAUGGGAGACUCCUGGGACAACGCCGUGAAGAACAACCCGAUCCCGGUCAUCACGAAGAAGAUGCGCAAGCCCGGCGAGACCGCCGCCUACGUCCGCGCGCAGGGCUCCUCCCUCUUCGGCAUCGCCGAGGGCCUCGGGCUGCAGUACCGCAUGGGCGC